rnacentral:rRNA from 1 species
GACGAACGCUGGCGGCGUGCCUAAUACAUGCAAGUCGAACGCAGGGGGGACGGGUGAGUAACACGUGGGUAACCUCCCAUCAGAGGGGAUAACACUUGGCAACAGGUGCUAAACCGAUACUGAUGGAUGGACCCGCGGUGAAUUAGCUAUUUGGUGAGGUAACGGCGCACCAAGGCCACGAUGCAUAGCCGGCUGGAGAGGGUGAUCGGCCAAAUUGGAACGGAGACACGGCCCAGACUCCUCCGGGAGGCAGCAGUAGGGAAUCUGGGGCAAUGGACGAAAGUCUGACCGAGCAACGCCGCGUGAGUGAAGAAGGUUUUCGGGUCGUAAAACUCUGUUGUCAGAGAGGCGGUAUCUAACCAGAAAGCCACGGCUAACUACGUGCCAGCAGCCGCGGUAAUAC